GUAUUUAUAUAUUGCCGGAUCGGAUCAGAUAUCCGCUUCCCAAAAUUUUAAUAUUUGUGAUUUGCUUCGAUUUUAACAUAUAUUAAUUUUUAGUAUUUGCUUUGAUUCGAAGGUUUACGGAUAUCCAAAAUUUUCGGAUCGAAACGAAUAACGAAUCGAAUCAAAUUUAACGGAUAAAAUGUCCCGCCCUACACUCACCUAGCAAAACUUUAUGAUCAAUAUAUAGAAGUACGAUAUGUAGGUUGUCAUAAUUAUGCACAUUCAAGAAUGGCCCAUUUGCAUUUAAAAGAAAAGGAAAACAGAAGGAAUAGUGAGUUCCUGAUAUAAUUAUUUUUUGCCGCACAAUUUAGAGCAUUUUAAUCCCUAC
rnacentral:lncRNA from 1 species